rnacentral:rRNA from 1 species
CGAGACCUACGGGACGCAGCAGUGAGGAAUAUUGGUCAAUGGUCGGGAGACUGAACCAGCCAAGCCGCGUGAGGGAUGAAGGUACAGAGUAUCGUAGACCUCUUUUGUCAGGGAACAAAGGCGGGGACGCGUCCCCGGAUGAGGGUACCUGAAGAAAAAGCAUCGGCUAACUCCGUGCCAGCAGCCGCGGUAAUACGGAGGAUGCGAGCGUUAUCCGGAUUUAUUGGGCUUAAAGGGUGCGCAGGCGGGCUGUUAAGUCAGCGGUCAAAGCCCGGGGCUCAAACCCGGCCC